rnacentral:rRNA from 1 species
AGAUUAAGUUAUUAAGGGCGCACGGUGGAUGCCUUGGCACUAGAAGCCGAUGAAGGACGUUACUAACGACGAUAUGCUUUGGGUAGCUGUAAGUAAGCGUUGAUCCAGAGAUUUCCGAAUGGGGGAACCCAGCAUGAGUUAUGUCAUGUUAUCGACAUGUGAAUUCAUAGCAUGUCAGAAGGCAGACCCGGAGAACUGAAACAUCUUAGUACCCGGAGGAAGAGAAAGAAAAAUCGAUUCCCUGAGUAGCGGCGAGCGAAACGGGAAGAGCCCAAACCAACAAGCUUGCUUGUUGGGGUUGUAGGACACUCUAUACGGAGUUACAAAAGAACAUGUUAGACGAAUCAUCUGGAAAGAUGAAUCAAAGAAGGUAAUAAUCCUGUAGUCGAAAACAUAUUCUCUCUUGAGUGGAUCCUGAGUACGACGGAGCACGUGAAAUUCCGUCGGAAUCUGGGAGGACCAUCUCCUAAGGCUAAAUACUCUCUAGUGACCGAUAGUGAACCAGUACCGUGAGGGAAAGGUGAAAAGUACCCCGGAAGGGGAGUGAAAGAGAACUUGAAACCGUGUGCUUACAAGUAGUCAGAGCCCGUUAAUGGGUGAUGGCGUGCCUUUUGUAGAAUGAACCGGCGAGUUACGAUCUGAUGCAAGGUUAAGCAGCAAAUGUGGAGCCGCAGCGAAAGCGAGUCUGAAUAGGGCGUUGAGUAUUUGGUCGUAGACCCGAAACCAGGUGAUCUACCCUUGGUCAGGUUGAAGUUCAGGUAACACUGAAUGGAGGACCGAACCGACUUACGUUGAAAAGUGAGCGGAUGAACUGAGGGUAGCGGAGAAAUUCCAAUCGAACUUGGAGAUAGCUGGUUCUCUCCGAAAUAGCUUUAGGGCUAGCCUCAAGUGAUGAUUAUUGGAGGUAGAGCACUGUUUGGACGAGGGGCCCCUCUCGGGUUACCGAAUUCAGACAAACUCCGAAUGCCAAUUAAUUUAACUUGGGAGUCAGAACAUGGGUGAUAAGGUCCGUGUUCGAAAGGGAAACAGCCCAGACCACCAGCUAAGGUCCCAAAAUAUAUGUUAAGUGGAAAAGGAUGUGGCGUUGCCCAGACAACUAGGAUGUUGGCUUAGAAGCAGCCAUCAUUUAAAGAGUGCGUAAUAGCUCACUAGUCGAGUGACACUGCGCCGAAAAUGUACCGGGGCUAAACAUAUUACCGAAGCUGUGGAUUGUCCUUUGGACAAUGGUAGGAGAGCGUUCUAAGGGCGUCGAAGCAUGAUCGCAAGGACAUGUGGAGCGCUUAGAAGUGAGAAUGCCGGUGUGAGUAGCGAAAGACGGGUGAGAAUCCCGUCCACCGAUUGACUAAGGUUUCCAGAGGAAGGCUCGUCCGCUCUGGGUUAGUCGGGUCCUAAGCUGAGGCCGACAGGCGUAGGCGAUGGAUAACAGGUUGAUAUUCCUGUACCACCUAGUAUCGUUUUAAUCGAUGGGGGGACGCAGUAGGAUAGGCGAAGCGUGCUGUUGGAGUGCACGUCCAAGCAGUAAGGCUGAGUGUUAGGCAAAUCCGGCACUCAUAAGGCUGAGCUGUGAUGGGGAGAGGAAAUUGUUUCCUCGAGUCGUUGAUUUCACACUGUCGAGAAAAGCCUCUAGAUAGAUAACAGGUGCCCGUACCGCAAACCGACACAGGUAGUCAAGAUGAGAAUUCUAAGGUGAGCGAGCGAACUCUCGUUAAGGAACUCGGCAAAAUGACCCCGUAACUUCGGGAGAAGGGGUGCUCUUUAGGGUUCACGCCCAGAAGAGCCGCAGUGAAUAGGCCCAAGCGACUGUUUAUCAAAAACACAGGUCUCUGCUAAACCGUAAGGUGAUGUAUAGGGGCUGACGCCUGCCCGGUGCUGGAAGGUUAAGAGGAGUGGUUAGCUUCUGCGAAGCUACGAAUCGAAGCCCCAGUAAACGGCGGCCGUAACUAUAACGGUCCUAAGGUAGCGAAAUUCCUUGUCGGGUAAGUUCCGACCCGCACGAAAGGCGUAACGAUUUGGGCACUGUCUCAACGAGAGACUCGGUGAAAUCAUAGUACCUGUGAAGAUGCAGGUUACCCGCGACAGGACGGAAAGACCCCGUGGAGCUUUACUGUAGCCUGAUAUUGAAAUUCGGCACAGCUUGUACAGGAUAGGUAGGAGCCUUUGAAACGUGAGCGCUAGCUUACGUGGAGGCGUUGGUGGGAUACUACCCUAGCUGUGUUGGCUUUCUAACCCGCACCACUUAUCGUGGUGGGAGACAGUGUCAGGCGGGCAGUUUGACUGGGGCGGUCGCCUCCUAAAAGGUAACGGAGGCGCUCAAAGGUUCCCUCAGAAUGGUUGGAAAUCAUUCAUAGAGUGUAAAGGCAUAAGGGAGCUUGACUGCGAGACCUACAAGUCGAGCAGGGUCGAAAGACGGACUUAGUGAUCCGGUGGUUCCGCAUGGAAGGGCCAUCGCUCAACGGAUAAAAGCUACCCCGGGGAUAACAGGCUUAUCUCCCCCAAGAGUUCACAUCGACGGGGAGGUUUGGCACCUCGAUGUCGGCUCAUCGCAUCCUGGGGCUGUAGUCGGUCCCAAGGGUUGGGCUGUUCGCCCAUUAAAGCGGUACGCGAGCUGGGUUCAGAACGUCGUGAGACAGUUCGGUCCCUAUCCGUCGUGGGCGUAGGAAAUUUGAGAGGAGCUGUCCUUAGUACGAGAGGACCGGGAUGGACAUACCUCUGGUGUACCAGUUGUCGUGCCAACGGCAUAGCUGGGUAGCUAUGUAUGGACGGGAUAAGUGCUGAAAGCAUCUAAGCAUGAAGCCCCCCUCAAGAUGAGAUUUCCCAACUUCGGUUAUAAGAUCCCUCGAAGAUGACGAGGUUAAUAGGUUCGAGGUGGAAGCGUGGUGACACGUGGAGCUGACGAAUACUAAUCGAUCGAAGACUUAAUCAAUUUUUUAAA